GCCUACAGCAAUAGCACUCUGAGAGCGCCCGAUCUCGUCUGCUCUCGGAAUCUAAGCAGGGUCGGGUCCACUUAUUACUUGGAUGGGAGACCGCCAGGGAAUAGUGGUUGAUGAAGGCU
rnacentral:rRNA from 1 species